GCUUGAUAACUACAUUUCCAUUAUAGUUAAUCUCCCAUCCUUCGCAGACGUAGUGGAACUUUCCAGAAACUACGGAGCAGGCUUGGCGGUAACUUGAUGAGGAACUGGCUGAUACGUUGAGAUCUGGUGCACUUACAAAUGGAGGCCAAGUGUAUGCAACUGAGCAUACUAUCUAUGUAUAUAUUUGGUUAUAGAACUUCACUAUUUAAUGUUCUGCCACAGGGUCUUUUCUACUGUGGUUUUGCUACAAUCUACAUACCUAUUUAUGUAAAGAGUUUUUUUUUAACUCAUUUAAUUUCUUCCUGUCCUCCACAUGGAAAAGUAGAAAGCCAAACACCUUUCUUUCUAAUAUUACUAAUAGCUUUAUUUCAAAUGACUAUCUUUUCAGUAAGCAUAUAAGUAAGUUUUAAAAAAUAGGUGUCAAUGAAGUUGCUGACAAUCCCCAAAAACAGAAAUUUGUGCCAGCAAUUAAAAAUGAAUUAGAGAAUGAAGUUGAUAUUUUAGUAAUAUAAACAAUUGGCGUAUCCAAGGCUUUUAUAUAUUUUGUUCGUUUAUAUCUAAUCGGAAGUAACUAUCAACAAAUAGGUACCUAAUAAUAAAGAUGAAGUUGAACUUUUUUCAAAUAUGUAGAUAUUUCAUGAUUUAUAUUCGAGAUCAGGAAAAAGGAAAUCAAGGAAGAAGGAAAUGGUGUGGCCUUUCGCAUUUCAUGAAGAUCAGAAAAAAAUGGAAACUACGCAGUUGUCCCCUGCCUCGCUCGGUGUGUAUCGACCCAAGCAAACACUUCACAACUGCGACAUACGUUAUAUGUAAUUCCUACGCGUGGGAGAGAGACGGCUAGAUUUUGAGAUGAGUAUUACACCGUAACCGCUGAGAUCGAUAUGGCUGGGGACGCCAAGCAAACAAUCAGGAGGUCUCUGAAUGUUCUAGAAAAACGCAGUGGAAGGGGAGAACCUUUAAAUACUGUCCCGUUCCGAUUUUGUAACGCAGUCGAAAAUUUUACUAAGUGUGAUAAGUUGAAAAUGGUGUGGAGUAGUGGUGACCAAACAAAGCAGGCAGCUGUUGGGUGUGAUGCAAGAGGAUUGCAAGGAUUUGUAUAAGUCGUAUUCUUUUAGUAUCCAAUUUCAAACGUAGUUUUAAGGUAGCUUGCUGAAAUUUUGUCGAAAUUGAUUGAUUUAUGUGGUCUAGUUACACCUGGCCAGUGUAAAUGGGCCACGUCACAAUUUCCUUUAGUAGAAUUCGAAUUUAAUUAGUGGAACAACUUGUUUUCAACGAAUAUCAUUUGUUUAAAACGAUUACAAAAUGAGCAAGUUCGAUUUAUAAUAAUUGUUCCCUUAUGUGGUAUCAAAAGAUGUUAAUUAAUUUCAGAGUUUUUCAACAUAAUGAUGUAAUUGCGUCAUUGCGCCGUGUCCCAAAAUGGCGGCUAGGGUGCGGUCGUCACCAUCUUGUCGAAUCGAGAUCUAUCGAAACGAAAUCAUUGAGCGACCGUUAGGCAGAUUAAUUGAUUUUUAAGAGAGCAGAUUCGUAGAGUCUUAAGACCAUGGUAUGAUGAUAUUUUACUUAGAGAGGCCCUGGCCUCGCAUAGAUUUACCCGUCAGCUGCGCUGGCACACCUUUUGAGAAUUUUCUAGAUCGUGCUAUGGCAUAGAGAAGUCCGGUUCGUGUAAAGGAUGUCCCCCCAAAAUGAACUGCGAUUUUUGGUAUUCCCAUCGGAGUUUGUGAAUACUUUGAAUGAUUCUUGUAUUAUUUUGGUGUAUAUGGACAAUGUGUUCAUAAGCCUAUAUAUAUAUUUUUUUAUGAAACUUGCGAUGAAAUGCAUUUCACCUGAAAAUUAUGAAGAAACAACCCUAUUAUUGAUAACAUUGAUAUUUAUAUUCCUAUAGAAAAAUACCAUUAUCAUUAUUUGAAAACACUUCAUGGCGUUUGUACAACUUAACUUGAAUCUAAUAUGAAUAAAUACAUUUAAAAGCUUC